UCCCAUCUCUCUGCCAAAGUUGAACUACUUUGCCGUCUGGCAGUCCCAAGCCUCGAAACUGGAACAGUUUCCUUGGUCAGAGAGAAAGACCCAGAGGAGUUUGCCUGCAACACUCAUACGACUUUGACACGAUCUGGCAACUGCUUUGAAGGCAGAGGAUGUUCUGGCCCUUUAAUAGAUUCCCAAGAGGAAAUGCUGGACCAAUGGAGACAGCCAGUCAUAUCUCUCUCCCAUCGUUUGGGAUAUAUUUAUUUUUUGUUGCUCUGUUCUUUAAUAGAGACAUGGCAAUCAAACUAGCAUACUUUUAAACACAGAGACUUUUCCCAGGAAAUUUGCAAACACUGCAUGUUUUCUUUCUUACUACAUAUGGUCUAUCUUCUGGGAAAGGACACAAGGAUCUUUAUAAGAAAAGCAACAAUCGCUACAGCCUAUUAACUCUGCAUUCUAGAAAAAAGAAAAAAGUAGAAAAGAAAAAGAAAUGACAUGGAAAGCGUGGGAUUCCUCAGGAGAGCCUCAGCGGAUGAGGAGAAAUGACCGGUCUGCCUUCCUAGCAGCCCACCCCCAGCUCAACCAGAGAAGGUUAGCUUCUGUUAGAGUUUUGCAUACAAUUUAAUUCACAAAAAAGCAUUCAGUAACCUUAAAAACUGGAAAACUGUUCCACUCCACAAAUUAUUUCUUUACUCCUACUUUUUCCAGCAGUCUAUCCUUGGUUAAGACAAAGCCUUCCCUCACUCCUGCCCUGGCUUUUUUUUUUUUUUU